GAACUGUACUGUUUAAAAGUUUAACGCAAUUACAUUAAUAUCCUAUGCAUUUCUUUUUGCAUCAUAGAUCAUUCCCUCCAGUCCCCGUUGACCUCAUUCUUGUCAGAAUGUAUAGCAUCGUCAAAUUUUUGGGGGAAAGGACUGUUGGCAUAGUGGCCAGUAAUUGGAUUAUAAAAGAGGGAGAUAAGACAUGCAGCUACUGGCCACUCCACAAGCCCACACAGAGGGCAAAGGACAAAGAUUUGCCCGAUCCUAAAACCUGGCUAAAAAGGCCAAUAAAAAUAUUUGUGUGUUAAUGUGUGUUAAUGGGCGACAAAUAAAUAAGUGGUGACAUGCAACACAUUUAAAAGAGUGUAAUUUCUAAUUGUUUUGGCCCACCUGACUGUUUAGAUGAUUGGGAUCAGGCCGUCAGGAGGAACAAGAGGGCGGAGACAAAGUCCUGUGUGGAGACAGGAAAUGAGGACAUAGGGAGGCGCAUCAUAGUCAAACCCCAAAAAUGUAUUCACACCGGUAUAUCUGCACAUCCUUGUGUACUGUAUUAACUUAGUGUUAAAAGUGCAAGCAGCAAUUCUAAACAAUGUGUAAACAUGUAACACUGUUAUUUACUUUCGGCUAAUAUGAUUCUGUUCAGGUGAAAAGAGAACAAAGAAACGAAAUGGGAAAAAGGCAGGACAAGGUCCACAUUUCAGGACUUCCCUUCCUCCUCCACCCCAGAUAGAAUCCCCCAUUCCACGGCGUAGCGCACUACAAAUAUCUUCACCCCCUGUGACUGAUGACGGUAGAGUUUUGCAAGGGAAUGAUGGUUAAAAACAAAUACAAAUAAUUGCAUAGAAGUCAAGAAGACACUAUGUUUCGAAACAAAAACACAUAACCUAAAUUCUUAUCUUGUUCUUUCUGUAGAUUACUCCCCUCCUUCACCGGCAAGAGACGUUUUUACAGAAAAUGAUGGUAAAGUUAUGCAUGGUAAUGAUGACGAAUGAUGAUGACAUAACAGUAAUUCUAUGAGCCAAGACAACAAAGAGUUUGAAACCAAAAAAAAACAUUGAAUUAUUAUUUUGUACUUCCUGCAGAUGAUUCGAUUGCGUCUUCAUUUGAAACGCCAUUGCCUAUCUCUACUGGGGACGGUAAAGUGGCGGGUGGAGAGGGUGGUUAAAACCAAACUAGUAACUCUUAUCAACAGGUUAUGACAGUCAUCUGUCUAUACUAACCCUACACAUUAUGCUUUAUACACAUUACUUAGGUGACCGAAGAGAGAGAGAAACCAUACCAAUCUGGGCAAAGGAAUAUCAACGGUAAUACAUGUAUUGAACUGUAUUGCACUGUAUGCAAAUGACACCAAAUACUACUAAAUACACUCCUCUCAUCUCAACAUAAUUUUUUUUACAGCGACAUUGGAGGUUCUGCUCCUGUUGGGCAAAAUAACCUGCUGAGUACAUCACAUGUACAUUAUAAAUAUAGCUAACUCCUACCCUAGCUUAAUGAGCACAUCACAUGGCAGUCACCUUAUAAUAUAGUCAACUUUUAACACAUAACACAUACAUGAGAAUAUAGUCAGGUCAGGGCCGGAGCCAGGGCCCCAUUUCUCCUCCCGGCAGAUGGUAGACACUCAGACAAUGCACCAGUCAUCCUCAAGAACGGGAGGGCCACAACAGGAGAUGCUCUGAAGCUCUCCCCCGUGAGGAGGAACACAAGAAGAUAUACAUGCAUACACUAGUGCCUGGGAGCCAAGGUCAAGUAAAAACACACAGAACCACACACAUCUCAAACGCACACACCUCAUCACGAGGAGAUACAGCAUAAGACUGUAUCACACUGAGACUCUUCACCUUCUUCUGAAGCAGACCUUCCACGGAGGCGAAGCUCCGGACGAACCAUCAGCGCUGAUUAGGGACUUAGACAUAUUCGAUUUCUCACGCUUUAUGACUCUGUAUAACCGUUGCCACUUUACUUAAUAAAUCCAAGGUCCUCGUGCCGACAGACUUUAUUACCUCUCCGUCUCAUUUCAUCUGGUCCAGUAACUAGACAGACCGUUUUUCCCUUCACUCCGAAGGCUUGAGACUGUUGAGCAGAAUCAGAGAGAGGCUCUAUUAUUGCUACGGGCAAAUCGACAUGGGGACCCUAGGGAAGCUAGUGUCGAGUUACUGCAGGCGCAAACUCAGGCCGAACUACAGGAACUCGAGGAGCACCUUAAAAAUAGAGAUUUCACCAAAAAAAUUGUAAAUGUACGAAUAAUGGUGAAGUGACUUUAGGCUAUAUUGUACACAUGCCACCAAGUGUGCCACAUGGCCCUGCCAUUGAGCUUUUUUCAUCUUUAGUUCCCUGUUGUUAGCUAAGUAGUUAGAGAUGAGCAGUCCAUCUUCAAAUACCUUAAUUUGGUUCACCCCCCUCAAAAGAAAACACCACCAACACCACAUGAAAAAUACAAUGCAAAUACUUGCCUUAACCAUGGUUGUUUGAUUUCCUUAGAUUUCCCAUCUGAGCCUAGUUGGGGGGUCCAAUCCUGGGGAGUGUGUGAGGAGGGUGUUGCGCUCUGUGGCCUCAAACUUUGUUUGGAGCAGCUACAGCCUUAGGGGAAAGAAGGGGAAGAUGCCACUGCUUGGCACAGCAGUGGGCAGUACCAUCAAACGUAAGUCUAAAUAUGUGCAAACAAAUCUAUUUAGCUGUUUCAGCUAUUUUUCUACACCUUUUAGCUGAUGUGAUCUGUUUCUUCCAAAGACUCCUCAUUUAGGGAUGGACAUGAUUAAUCGACGAUCGACUAAUUGAUCAUUAAGAAUUUCGUCGAUGACGUACAUUUUUCAUCGAUAAAACUAAUGCUAAAAAAUAUCUUCACACGGUGUGUCUUUUUACAAUUACCAUUCGUAUUGUUGUUCAGCAGAGAAAUACAGACGGACCAAUUGCGAACUACUGCAACUGCUGAUGCCAUCUCUCCAAGUUAAAAAGUAGCCGCACCCACCCCAAACUAAUCGGAAUAAGUGUAUAGAUGUCGAUUAUAGCCGACUACACCACCUAUUCUAUUCCACAUGGAAUUCUAUUCCGAUCAGAGAAUUAUAUUUAGAUUAGCCGCGUUUACAUGGACACUUCUGAUCCGAUUCGAUUUCUAAUCGGAAUAUAUAUAUUCUUAUCAUGCAAUCCGAGUGUACUGUAUAUAUGGCAGUUACAA
rnacentral:lncRNA from 1 species